rfam:Oryza brachyantha chromosome 1, whole genome shotgun sequence.
AAUAAUCUUAUUUUUCAUUUUCCGUGUCUAACGUUUGAUCAUUCAUCUUAUUUGAAAUUUUUUUAUUAUUAAUAUUUUUAUUGUUACUAGAUGAUAAAAUAUGAAUAUGACUUUAUACGUGACUAAUUUUUUUAAAUUUUUAUAUAAAUUUUUCAAAUAAAAUAAAUGGUCAAAUAUUAGACAUGGAAAAAC